rnacentral:rRNA from 1 species
GGUUAAGCGACUAAGCGUACACGGUGGAUGCCCUGGCAGUCAGAGGCGAUGAAGGACGUGCUAAUCUGCGAAAAGCGUCGGUAAGGUGAUAUGAACCGUUAUAACCGGCGAUGUCCGAAUGGGGAAACCCAGUGUGAUUCGUCACACUAUCGUUAACUGAAUACAUAGGUUAACGAGGCGAACCGGGGGAACUGAAACA